AGUGAACGCUGGCGGUAGGCCUAACACAUGCAAGUCGAACGGCAGCACAGUAAGAGCUUGCUCUUACGGGUGGCGAGUGGCGGACGGGUGGGGAAUACAUCGGAAUCUACUUUUUCGUGGGGGAUAACGUAGGGAAACUUACGCUAAUACCGCAUACGACCUACGGGUGAAAGCAGGGGAUCUUCGGACCUUGCGCGACUGAAUGAGCCGAUGUCGGAUUAGCUAGUUGGUGGGGUAAAGGCCUACCAAGGCGACGAUCCGUAGCUGGUCUGAGAGGAUGAUCAGCCACACUGGAACUGAGACACGGUCCAGACUCCUACGGGAGGCAGCAGUGGGGAAUAUUGGACAAUGGGCGCAAGCCUGAUCCAGCCAUACCGCGUGGGUGAAGAAGGCCUUCGGGUUGUAAAGCCCUUUUGUUGGGAAAGAAAAGCAGCAGGUUAAUACCCCGCUGUUCUGACGGUACCCAAAGAAUAAGCACCGGCUAACUUCGUG
rnacentral:rRNA from 1 species